rnacentral:lncRNA from 1 species
AUGAUAAUUAGAUAUGUGCGCAUAAAAAGUGCGCACAAAUCUCAGUGUGUAAUUUCAAAUUCUCAGUGUGUAAUUUUAAAUUCUCAGUGUGUAAUUUCAAAUUCUCAGUGUGUGUUUUCAGUUUAUUUAUUCUCAGUGUGUCUUUUUUAAAUCUCAGUGUGUAAUUUUUAAUUCUCAGUGUGUAAUUUUCAAUUCUCAGUGUGUAAUUUUCAAUUCUCAGUGUGCGUUUUUCAUUUUUGUAAUCUCAGUGCGUCUUUAUGAAAUCUCAGUGUGUAAUUUGUAAUUCUCAGUGUGUAAUUUUCAAUUCUCAGUGUGCGUUUUGAAGUUUUUAAAUCUCAGUGUGCUUUGUUGUAAUUCUCAGUGUGUAAAUUUAUCGAAAAAUGGUUUAAACAUAGUUUUGACGAGAACGGCUUGCCAUACAUAACUUUAAUUGGACACAAGAUAUAUUUGUCAAAUUCAAAUACAUCCCUAUAGCAAGUGUCGUGGUAUACAGUGGCGGAUCCAGAAAUUUUCUGGGGGCCCACUGACUGACCUAAGAGGGGGCCCGAUCCAGUCUCGUUUCAACGAUUCCCUAUAUAAGCAACCAAAGUUUUUCCUUAAAAGGGGGG